UACAAAAGUGCUGUUCAUAUGUGAAAAAAGUCAAAGUUCCGUGGUUCUCAGUGAAGUUCCGUGGUUAGGGGAAUCAUACGGACUCACCACUUUCAGAGGAUGAUGUCAUUGGACAACGACUCCAUAAUACAUUCCAGUUAUAGUAGCAUCCCCACAGAUCCAAGCUUAACUGUACUCAAACUGUCAAUCAAGCAAUGUACAGGAGGAAGAAAAAAGGACAUGUGGGAACAGAGACCACUGCUGGAAGCCCAGAAGGUUCCAGAAGAAAGAAAUGAAUAAAAAGUGAAAGUCCAAGUAGGAAUAGAAUAAGAAUAUAGACCUAUCUUCCCACGGGCCUUCUCUUUAUCUUACGGUACACAGCACAAGGUAGCCAGCUACAUUUAAAAAACUUUUUAUUAAAGACAAAAAAAAAAAAAAAAAUAAAAGACCACAUAUUCUGUGUCCAGCCCACUGGACUUUCACAAAGUAAACACAUCUGUGCAUCUUACACCAAAAUGAAGAAAUAAAAUAUUGGCAGAGCCCAGGAGCACCCCCUUCAUCCUUUUGGAUACCACCCCAUCCCCAAGGGGAAGCACUCCCCCCAGGACUAGCUAGCUGGCUGUAUGUUAAAGUAACCCCUUCUUUCUGGCCAGGGCAGCCUGUGUUCUUCUGAGAGAAACCUUUCCGGGCAGCACCUGUCAUUUCAAAGCAGGGGGAAAAUAAAGUGUGUGUGAGGGAGUAAUUUUGUGUGUAGGAGAAAAGUGUUUCUAAUUUUCAGUCCUGAAAACGUGAGAGGAAGAAGGAAUACGUGAAAGAAAGAGGGAAAUAAGUCGGUAAAUGCAGUCCUCGCUCUGCCUCCACCAUUAGGAGCUGGAAGGCUUCCAGCGACAUGCCAUUUUGAGCAAGGAGACAAACACAACCGCCCUUCUCCACCCUUCCCAGCCUCGACCAGGGAAGGUCAGCUCCAACACCCAUCACCUUCACAUUUGCAGAUAGGCGGACAGUUUUUAUCUAAUGGCAACAUGUUCACUAGAAGGCUUAUAGUGUAUUGAACAUAUGGUUUUGAUUUUUUUUUUUUCUGUUUUUAACCAGGGAGCAAGAUGGGGAGCGUCAGAAACCUAACUCCAGGAUUUGCUGGGUUCUCCCAAACUGUAACGGGAACCUUGCUCCCAAGCUGAUGCCCCUCAUGCCUCUGCAGCUCUGGGGCCCAGUGGGGAAGGAGCCACAGAGGGUUCAGACAGCAGCACUGACUGAUCCCAGAGCAGGACUUCAUUCUGUUGACCUGACAAAGCACACAGGCCACACCGGCAUUUUUUCCCCUCCACCUUCUAUGCUAAUUUAUCAAACUAGAAGGAAGAGAUCAGAACAUCAAAUAAAAAUCCACAGCCGCAGAGCAAUUAACUCAAGACCCAACAUGUACCUGGAUAAGGGGACUCACAAGAAUUCCAGCAUCUACAAGGUUUUAAACGGCAAUGUUCUCUAACUUUGUAUCUUGGGUUACUGGUUGUCAGUGUUUUCAAAAAUAAUCACUCCUCUCAGUUACAUUUUCUGAUCAAUUAUUUAACAAGGUCUGGGUUAUACAACACACAUUUCUCCCUGAGUGGGGAAGACUCAUGCUUUUGAGUGGUCAGCUAGAAAGCUGACAGUUGUUAUUAAAAAGGCAAAUUUUUAGCCUGGCAAGACACGCUGGAUUUAUAGGGCGUUCAUAAAGCUAAUACUAGUACGGAAGAAAAAAAAGUCAGAGCUUGUGAUAGACUAGGGGUCUGGGGAUCUCUAGGUUAAUAUCAACUCAAGUCUGAAAGCUUCAGAUCAAGCUCUGGGCUUUCUCUGGAUGGAAACGUGGUCACCUCUUAGAGAAAUGGUUCAACAUCCCUUGUCACUCUUCCUUUGUUUGCUCUGCGUGCCCCUAGGUAGGCCUGGGUGGAACUGAAGGGGAAAAUCCUUCCUGGUUUCUCCUUCUCCAAGGAAGGAGGGCAGGUUAGUGCAGCCUGCUGCUGACUGGAGCUGGGAUUAAUUAGUUCCUCCAGUGACCUUGGCACCUACUGAUGGCGGAGUGUGUCUCUAAGCCGCUGAGAGCCAGAGAGGAACUCAGGAGGACUGAGUGCUACUGCUAAAAUGAUCAUUGAGCCAAAAAACAUAGAGGAUGAAAGAAAACCAAAAACGCAUACCUUAUCUCUAAACACUGCCUGAGUGUGUUAUUCAAAUGGUUGAUAUGAAGAUAUACCUCAAUCUAUCUAUCUAUCUAUCUCUGCAUGAAUGUUUAUUUAAAUCUCAAUCUAUCUAUCUGUCUAUUAUUGUCCUUGUGGGUAAUUUUGCAAGCCAGUGUCCCAUACAUUGCCAGGGAUUUCUGGAGGUGGCUGUUACCUGUGGUUGGGACUGAAACCAAUUCGAAAGCAUCCCACCCUGCAGCUGUGGAAGGUCAUCUGUCCCAUCACGCUCCACCUUCAUCCAUUCACUUUCUCCCUGCUGUGCCUCAGCAGAGCUGAGAGAAGCUGAAGAACCCCACCUCUUUCUCUUAUCAUAGGUGGUUCAAGGUUCAAUGUGAGUCAACAAAGGGUCGUCAUGGCCAGAGCAGCUCAGUGUCUGGGGUUGCAUAAAUAAAGGUAUUCAAUCCUGAAUUAGGGAGGUGCCAUACUGGUUCUGUCAGAGGAAUUCUAAAAUCUUCAAAUAUGUGAAGGGGCUUGCCUCCUAAAGACACACGUGAUUGCUCAGGGUUACUCCAAAGGCCUGAACAAGGGUGAAGAGUGCAGAUUACACAGUCCCAUUUUAUCUCAGCACGAGGAAGAAUUUUCUAACCAAAUGUUAUGGCUUGUAUGUACUAUGGGGUCGUGAUUGUCCGGUCAAUGAAAGAAGAUACACAAUAGCUGGAAACAGCUUGUCAGGGCUGGGGAAGAGGGUAGGCAGGAAUUGUGCUAGAUAAUCCCUUGGAUGCCUUCCCACUUGGGAUUUUCUUCUAAUUUCCACCUUAUAUUUGUGUUUUUUUGUCAGUUGGAUAGAUCUCGGAGGAGUGGCAUGGUAGGGCUGUCAGAAUCCUGUGUAAUGUGGAAAAGUUUUUCCAUUGACUGAUGUGUCUUCCCACAGCAAAUCACCAUUCUGGUACCUGAGUACCCAGGAGAACAAAGACGGGGUUGGAGUAGCACACAUUGCGGGAAGUAAGUAGUUAAAAGGACCAAAGCACUCUGCUGGUCCCAGCAGCCCCAGAGGCAGCCAGUCCCUUUGAUCCUGACUCUUAAUUGCAGCCUACUUGCACCAGGGAACUUUAAAGAAAAGAAACAGGGAAACUCAAGAGAUAGGGCUUGUUUUGUUUCCUUAGGGGAUGGUCUUUGUGGUGGCUGCCAGGAAGCUGAUACUUUAGGCUUCAAAUGAUUGAAGUUAAGAGUCAGGUGUGACUAGAACCCCAGAAAUAUGAGGUGUCUGUGUGUGCCAUGUAGUAGGGGUGCUGGGUACAGACUUGGCAGAGAGAACAGGACAUGAGAAAAGAGACCAUGGGUAAGCACAGGAGUAGGCAGAGCAGUACAAAAACAGAGCCCGAGGUGAGCGCAUCGAAACGAACGAACGAACAAACACACACACACACACUGCACAGAAAGGGAAGUCAAAGAAGAAAAGGGAUCUCUAAGAAUUCUCAUAGAGGGCAACAAAGUCACAAUAGCACAAAACAUUUCUCUUUGGAAUAGAUCUUACAGUUGAUAAUGAGCUUUUACCUAUGGUAUCUAUUUAAGGUGUCUAAAAGUUGAGAUCCAUCAAGUUGUUUAAGUUUAUUCAAUGUAUGUGCACGCGCGCACAUACACACACACACACACACACACAGAGUCAAGAGUAAGAAAAAGACCAACAAAUAAUCACAUAAAAUAGUAGAGAUGAUGCCCAGCUAUCCUUGGCACUAUACCAAGUCCCUUUGUGAGGAGGGACUCCUGGCUAAAACUGAACUCAUGCCUGCACAGUACGCCAGUAAUUGCUUGUUUAUGUUCUAUUUAGCUAUUUAGUGAGCUCGACCAACAGUACUUACAACUGUCAGGGAAGUUUUUCUGAAGCAAACUCCUUUUGCUGCCACCCCCCAAGUAAGUGCUGGUGGACAAGGGCUGCGUGUUUCCAUCCUACCAACUUGAGUCUGGCCUCUUAGUCUAUGACCUUGGCAAGUAACUUGGUCUUUCUAAGCUUCAUGUUCUUCAUGAAAAGCUUUCACUGAGUUGAUAUACAUAAAGUUCUCAGCAGGGGGCUUUUUAUAUAGUAAGUGAUCAAUACAUUCAAUAAAUGUUAGUUCUGUUUCACUCCUAAAAGGUUUAUUGGUAAAUUAAAAAUGAAUGAAAAUAUCGGCCAUCUGUGUGUGGACUAAGUGAGCAUCUGGCUAGGGAAGACUUCCUCUAAAUCAGUUUAGCUUGACUCCUGGUUCAAGGAAAGAGGGGGCCACAUGUGGGACACACAGGAAAACGAGGCAUCUGAAAAGAGGGAGGACAGACAGGGGCACCCGAUGUAAGACCUAUAACAAGGUAUGAGACUACAAUCAGGCCUGGACAUUCCACUUAAGCUACUUCAUUAGGCAGCUGUCCCUCCUCAUAGUGUCUUCAUUUCUAUUACAAGACUUUUAAACUAGCAUUUUAAAACAAAUGCAAUGCUAAUGGCAUAUAAUCCUUCCUCUCUAUCCUUCAUAUUCUUUGGAAAGAAGGAGGAGAAAAUGGCAUUAUUUACAUCUUAGGGAAUGAUUGAGUGUGUCAGAGCUUCUGAACCUAAUUCACCAAGGGUGUGAGGACUCAAGUAGGCACAGCAGACUUCCAGGCUCCAGCUCUGACCACCAUCUAGAAGAAGAGGAAUCUAAGGCUGAUUUAUAAUGCAUAUAUUCCUUAGGAUAAAAACAACAAACUCUGGAGCAGACAGAUAAACAAACACACCAGCUUUCCCUGGAGGCAGUAACCAAAUCUCUUGGGGAACUUGUGAGUCUGUGUCCGCAGAGAUGACAGACAUCUUGGGAAUGGGGAGGUAUUCAGAGAGGGGCUGUGUGUAGCUACAGAACUGCUUGCAGCUACUGAGGGCCCUGCCUUCAUGCCUUCAGCCCCAGCCUCAUUGGUGCAAGGCUGGUGGGAUACAGCAGUUCAACCUCAGCUUCACCAUGAGGCUGAGCAGCCUAGUGUGAGGCCCCCUGUGUGGUGGAUGUAGUUCUUAGUCUCCAGAUCUACAAAAGAUCCUCCAAGGAGCCAUCCAGGACCCAGUGAUCUACUGCCACUCACAUUGUGGGAGUGAUUUGCUGCCACUCACAAAGCAGACAUUGUAGUCUGGAGCCUCCUGG